rnacentral:rRNA from 1 species
AACGAACGCUGGCGGCAUGCCUAACACAUGCAAGUCGAACGAGACCUUCUGGUCUAGUUGCGCACGGGUGCGUAACGCGUGGGAACCUGCCCUUAGGUUCGGAAUACCUCCCCGAAAGGGGUGCUAAUACCGGAUAAUGUCUUCGGCCCAAAGAUUUAUUGCCUUUGGAUGGGCCCGCGUUGGAUUAGCUUGUUGGUAGGGUAAAAGCCUACCAAGGCCACGAUCCAUAGCUGGUCUGAGAGGAUGAGCAGCAACACUGGGACUGAGACACGGCCCACACUCAGACGAAAGGAAGAAGAGGGGAGUAAUGGAGGAUGGGAGAAGGCCUGAUACAGCAAGGUCGGGUGAGUGAUGAAGGGAUGAGGAUUGUGAUGCACUUUUUGCCGGGAUGAUAAUGACAGUACCGGGUGAAUAAGCGCCGGAUAACUACGUG